AUUCCAGCUCCAAUAGCGUAUAUUAAAGUUGUUGCAGUUAAAAAGCUCGUAGUUGGAUUUCUGGUAGGAGCGACCGGUCCGCCCUGUUAAGGGUGUGUACUAGCGUUGUCUCUGGCCAUCCUUGGGGGAACUGCGCGGGGAGACUUGCGUUAGGGAACCCAUCGUUUACUGUGAAAAAUUAGAGUGUUUAAAGCAGGCUUAUGCCGUUGAAUACAUUAGCAUGGAAUAAUAAGAUAGGACCGCGUGGUCGUCUUGUUGGUUUGCACCGCGAGGUAAUGAUUAUUAGGUACAGUUGGGGUAUUCGUAUUUAAUUGUCAGAGGUGAAAUUCUUGGAUUUAUGAAAGACAAACUUCUGCGAAAGCAUUUACCAAGGAUGUUUUCAUUA
rnacentral:rRNA from 1 species